UACGUAGGGGGCAAGCGUUGUCCGGAAUCAUUGGGCGUAAAGCGUGCGCAGGCGGUUUUGUAAGCCAGAUGUGAAAUCCCCGGGCUCAACCUGGGAAUGGCAUUUGGGACUGCAGGGCUUGAGUGCGGCAGAGGAGACUGGAAUUCCUGGUGUAGCAGUGAAAUGCGUAGAUAUCAGGAGGAAUACCGAUGGCGAAGGCAGGUCUCUGGGCUGACACUGACGCUCAUGCACGAAAGCGUGGGGAGCAAACAGG
rnacentral:rRNA from 1 species